rnacentral:rRNA from 1 species
AUUGAACGCUGGCGGCAGGCCUAACACAUGCAAGUCGAACGGUAACAGGAAGCAGCUUGCUGCUUCGCUGACGAGUGGCGGACGGGUGAGUAAUGUCUGGGAAACUUCCUGAUGGAGGGGGAUAACUACUGGAAACGGUAGCUAAUACCGCUUAACGUCGCAAGCCCAAAGAGGGGGACCUUAGGGCCUCUUGCCAUCGGAUUUGCCCAGAUGGGAUUAGCUAGUAGGUGGGGUAACGGCUCACCUAGGCGACGAUCCCUAGCUGGUCUGAGAGGAUGACCAGCCACACUGGAACUGAGACACGGUCCAGACUCCUACGGGAGGCAGCAGUGGGGAAUAUUGCACAAUGGGCGCAAGCCUGAUGCAGCCAUGCCGCGUGUAUGAAGAAGGCCUUCGGGUUGUAAAGUACUUUCAGCGGGGAGGAAGGGAGUAAAGUUAAUACCUUUGCUCAUUGACGUUACCCGCAGAAGAAGCACCGGCUAACUCCGUG